rnacentral:rRNA from 1 species
AUACGUAGGGUGCGAGCGUUAUCCGGAUUUAUUGGGUUUAAAGGGUGCGCAGGCGGGAGAUUAAGUCGGCGGUGAAAUUUUGCAGCUCAACUGUAAAAGUGCCUUCGAAACUGGUUUCCUUGAGUGUAGAUGAAGUAGGCGGAAUUUGUGGUGUAGCGGUGAAAUGCAUAGAUAUCACGAGGAACUCCGAUUGCGCAGGCAGCUUACUAAACUACUACUGACGCUCAGGCACGAAGGCGUGGGGAUCAAACAGGAUUAGAUACCCUGGUAGUCCACGCAGUAAACGAUGAUGACUAGCUGUUUGCGAUACAAUGUAAGCGGCUGAGCGAAAGCGUUAAGUAAUCCACCUGGGGAGUACGUUCGCAAGAAUGAAACUUAAAGGAAUUGACGGGG